CUGGGCACCCACAUCACCACCCUGAUCAAAGGAUCAAGAAAAAAGCUUAGCAUCUUAGGAGGCUCUAAUUAUAUAUUUCAAUUCCAAAGAUUUCCAUACGUCAUAUCAUAAAUUUGGCGUAUUCAGCUACAAUUAAAGCUGUAGAAACUGGAAACAAAUACUGAACUCAACCAACAGCACCACCGGAGUGAAGGAAACCAUACCUGGCGAUUGAGG
rnacentral:misc_RNA from 1 species